GCCUCCUUGGUGUAGUUGGUUUAUCUCGUCGGUCUCAUAGCUUGCCGCAUGACUCUUUCCUGAAAGGGUAAUCCGAAGGUCGCCAGUUCGAUCCUGGCAGGGGGCA